rnacentral:tRNA from 1 species
GGGAAUGUGGCUUAGUGGUAGAGUGCUUGCUUAGCAUGCAUGAAGCCCUGAGUUCCAUUCCUU